GAUGAACGCUAGCGGCAGGCCUAACACAUGCAAGUCGAGGGGUAGAGGAAGCUUGCUUCCUUGAGACCGGCGCACGGGUGCGUAACGCGUAUGCAAUCUACCUUAUACAGAGGGAUAGCCCAGAGAAAUUUGGAUUAAUACCUCAUAGUAUUAUGAAAUCGCAUGGUUUUAUAAUUAAAGUUCCAACGGUAUAAGAUGAGCAUGCGUCCCAUUAGUUAGUUGGUAAGGUAACGGCUUACCAAGACAAUGAUGGGUAGGGGUCCUGAGAGGGAGAUCCCCCACACUGGUACGGAGACACGGACCAGACUCCUACGGAAGGCAGCAGUGAGGAAUAUUGGUCAAUGGACGCAAGUCUGAACCAGCCAUGCCGCGUGCAGGAUGACGGUCCUAUGGAUUGUAAACUGCUUUUAUACAGGAAGAAACACUCCCUCGUGAGGGAACUUGACGGUACUGUAGGAAUAAGGAUCGGCUAACUCCGUGCCAGCAGCCGCGGUAACAC
rnacentral:rRNA from 1 species